rnacentral:rRNA from 1 species
CCUACGGGGGGCAGCAGUGGGGAAUCUUCCGCAAUGGGCGAAAGCCUGACGGAGCAACGCCGCGUGAUCGAAUGAAGGCCUUCGGGUUGUAAAGAUCUGUUGACAGGGACGAAUAAGCAAUGCGAACAGUUUUGUGUAUGACGGUACCUGUUUAGAAAGCUCCGGCUAACUACGUGCCAGCAGCCGCGGUAAUACGUAGGGAGCAAGCGUUGUCCGGAAUUACUGGGCGUAAAGGGCGCGUAGGUGGGCGCUUAAGUCAGGUGUGAAAACUCCGGGCUCAACCUGGAGACUGCACUUGAAACUGGGUGUCUUGAGGGCAGGAGAGGAAAGUGGAAUUCCUAGUGUAGCGGUGAAAUGCGUAGAUAUUAGGAGGAACACCAGUGGCGAAGGCGACUUUCUGGACUGUACCUGACGCUGAGGCGCGAAAGCGUGGGUAGC